rnacentral:snoRNA from 1 species
GCCACAUGAUGAUAUCAAGGCUGUUGUGAUUCAGUUGGUUUGGCUAAGUCCAGGGACCUUUGACCUUUUAUUAAGGUCUGUAAUCUUGGUAGGCGAUACAGAGUUGUGUGCGUCCGCUGUAAGGGCAGACCAACAGGCAGUUUGUCCUACUUUUGAAUUACCUCUUUAGCAGGGGUGAUUUUCCAUUUGCCAGAGAGAAACUUUGGUAACUGGAAGGGGAGAGUAGGGACAGGGUGUGUUCACGGUUCCAGGGUCACGGGUCCCAGAAGACUUAGCUUGUAUUGUGACCAAUGAGAGAUGAAACACAGAUCUUUGGUAAUCUGAUGGCU